AGCAAGAGUCUCCAAAGACACCAGGGCAAAGAGUUUAAAUACAUAGGUAUGUACUUGAGUGAAGUAAAGAAUUUUAAAAAUCCUGCGCUACCUUAUUCUCAUGAUGACAAUUAAGACAGAAACAAAGUUACAGAUCCUCCUGUCCUAAUGUUUUACCAAAGCCAGAAGUUUUACUGCUAAGUUUAUUUCACUAUUUGCUGUCAUUUGCCCUCUCUGAUGAGGUCAGUUACCAUGUUGUGGCUAUCCUGUGAAGAAGACCAGAUGAAAAGGAACUGAGAGAUGCCUCUGACCAACAGCAGAGGAGGAAAUGAAUCUGGAAACAACCAUGUGAAUAAAUCUGAGAAUGAAUGCAACCCUAGCUGAACCUUAAAGUACCAUCUGACACCUUCAUUACAGCCUUGUGAUAGACUGAGAGCCAGAGGACCCAGAUGAACCACACUGGGUACCUGACCCACAGAAGCUACAAGAUAAAUGGUUGCUGCGAUAAUAAAUGGUUAUUGCUUUAAACCACCAAGCCAUGGGUCAAUUUGUUAUACAACAAUAAAUAAUUAACAUAUUAGGU
rnacentral:lncRNA from 1 species